rnacentral:rRNA from 1 species
UACAGAGGUCUCAAGCGUUGUUCGGAUUCAUUGGGCGUAAAGGGUGCGUAGGCGGCGCGGUAAGUCGGGUGUGAAAUCUCGGAGCUUAACUCCGAAACUGCAUUCGAUACUGCCGUGCUUGAGGACUGGAGAGGAGACUGGAAUUUACGGUGUAGCGGUGAAAUGCGUAGAUAUCCGGAGGAACACCGAUGGCGAAGGCAGCUCUCUGGCCUGACACUGACGCUGAGGUGCGAAAGCGUGGGGAGCGAACGGG